AACUGUACAUGCCUGAGCAUUCUGUCAUGUGCACAUGCUAGUGUUAUGUGGACAGACAUGCAUGCUUGUGCAACAUCUGUCACUUAAUGGUCAAAGUAACUGUGCCUUUAACCACCUCAAAAUAUGCAGGAUAUCUAUCAAUGUCAAGACAUGCACUCAACUUUAUUGUGGAAGGUCUUCAAUCUCCAGUGCCGAAUCAUGUUGUUUGUGAGGAUGGCUUUCUGGAGGAGACUAAUUUGUGGGGAAGCUGAAAGACGUGCUGUUGUGUCAUUAUAAGCUGCAUCUUAAGUUAUUUUGAAAUAAUAAAACGAAGAACAUGUCAAGGCAUUGAAAGGUUUUGGACAGCGUUGAUAAAUUAUGUACUUGUGAAGGAAAAUGAUUUGAAUAAUGGAUGUUUCCUAUUAUAGUUUGCUUCCCUCACACCAGAAAGGACGGCGAAAACUACGGGGUUUCGCCCUAAUGGUUUGUAAUAAUUUGAAGUUUUGAGGACAGUGUCAGGAUGUUGUGGUGCAUCAUACUGGUGUUGCCUCUGUAUAAAAGUUUUGAACUUUGAGGUAUACAUGAUAUUUGAUACAAUGUAAUUCAUUUGUACCUAAGCCAUGUACAUCUUAUGACGAUUACAAAGUGGAAUUUAUUUUACCGCUUCCAUCACAAAGCUUGAAAUUGUUGGUGGCAUUUGUUUG